GAUGAACGCUGGCGGCGUGCCUAAUACAUGCGAGUCGAGCGAACGGACGAGAAGCUUGCUUUUCUGAUGUUAGCGGCGGACGGGUGAGUAACACGUGGAUAACCUACCUAUAAGACUGGGAUAACUUCGGGAAACCGGAGCUAAUACCGGAUAAUAUUUUGAACCGCAUGGUUCAAAAGUGAAAGACGGUCUUGCUGUCACUUAUAGAUGGAUCCGCGCUGCAUUAGCUAGUUGGUAAGGUAACGGCUUACCAAGGCAACGAUGCAUAGCCGACCUGAGAGGGUGAUCGGCCACACUGGAACUGAGACACGGUCCCGACUCCUACGGGAGGCAGCAGUAGGGAAUCUUCCGCAAUGGGCGAAAGCCUGACGGAGCAACGCCGCGUGAGUGAUGAAGGUCUUCGGAUCGUAAAACUCUGUUAUUAGGGAAGAACAUAUGUGUAAGUAACUGUGCACAUCUUGACGGUACCUAAUCAGAAAGCCACGGCUAACUACGUG
rnacentral:rRNA from 1 species